rnacentral:rRNA from 1 species
UACGGGGGGGGCAAGCGUUGUUCGGAAUUACUGGGCGUAAAGGGCUCGUAGGCGGCCAACUAAGUCAGACGUGAAAUCCCUCGGCUUAACCGGGGAACUGCGUCUGAUACUGGUUGGCUUGAAUCCGGGAGAGGGAUGUGGAAUUCCAGGUGUAGCGGUGAAAUGCGUAGAUAUCAGGAGGAACACCGGUGGUGUAGACGGCUUUCUGGACCGUAACUGACGCUGAGACACGAAAGCGUGGGUAGCAAACAGG